AAUCAGACUGCCAAGACACAGUAUGGUAUUCGUUAACCAUAUUUCCUUCAUAAUUAACUGUCAUAUUUAUAUUUCUUCCGUUUGUGUUCUUGACUACAAAUGUUCAAUUUCCCCAGAAUUUCAAAGAUUUUUCAGAAAUAACGCAAUAAUUGGUGACCCCGACGUUUGGAAGAAAGUCCCGAGACUCCCGAGGGGAGUGACACUAAAACAACUUCCACAGGCCACACACGUAUGAGGUGGCGCCAGGAAUUGGUUCCGGGAAGAAGUAGUCCAGCGUCCUUAACAACCAGGGCCCGUAUCCUUAAAGAUUCUGAGAAUCCUCUUAGAGAGCUCCUAACUUAACCUAAAAAUUCCUUGCCAGGAGUUUUAGCUUAGAAGUGAUUCCAGAACAUUUUCAGUGAACUCUGAGCCAGGAAUGGAUGAAAAAUCCUAUCUUAGUUAGGAGGUGUGGUUGAC
ensembl:lncRNA